AGCGAACGCUGGCGGCAGGCUUAACACAUGCAAGUCGAGCGGGCACUUUCGGGUGUCAGCGGCGGACGGGUGAGUAACGCGUGGGAACGUGCCCUCUGGUUCGGAAUAACUCAGGGAAACUUGAGCUAAUACCGGAUACGCCCUCUUGGGGAAAGGCUUGCUGCCGGAGGAUCGGCCCGCGUCUGAUUAGCUAGUUGGUGAGGUAACGGCUCACCAAGGCGACGAUCAGUAGCUGGUCUGAGAGGAUGAUCAGCCACACUGGGACUGAGACACGGCCCAGACUCCUACGGGAGGCAGCAGUGGGGAAUAUUGGACAAUGGGCGCAAGCCUGAUCCAGCCAUGCCGCGUGAGUGAUGAAGGUCUUAGGGUUGUAAAGCUCUUUUAUCCGGGACGAUAAUGACGGUACCGGAGGAAUAAGCCCCGGCUAACUUCGUG
rnacentral:rRNA from 1 species